rnacentral:rRNA from 1 species
AACGAACGCUGGCGGCAGGCUUAACACAUGCAAGUCGAGCGCCCCGCAAGGGGAGCGGCAGACGGGUGAGUAACGCGUGGGAAUCUACCCAUCUCUACGGAAUAACGCAUGGAAACGUGUGCUAAUGCCGUAUACGUCCUUCGGGAGAAAGAUUUAUCGGAGAUGGAUGAGCCCGCGUUGGAUUAGCUAGUUGGUGGGGUAAAGGCCUACCAAGGCGACGAUCCAUAGCUGGUCUGAGAGGAUGAUCAGCAAAACUGGGACUGAGACACGGCCCAGACUCCUACGGGAGGCAGCAGUGGGGAAUAUUGGACAAAGGGCGCAAGCCUGAUCCAGCCAUGCCGCGUGAGUGAUGAAGGCCCUAGGGUUGUAAAGCUCUUUCACCGGUGAAGAUAAUGACGGUAACCGGAGAAGAAGCCCCGGCUAACUUCGUGCCAGCCGCCGCCGUAACAC